CAGUAGCCGCGGUAAUACGAAGGGUGCAAGCGUUAAUCGGAAUUACUGGGCGUAAAGCGUGCGUAGGCGGUGAGUUAAGUCUGCUGUGAAAUCCCCGGGCUCAACCUGGGAAUGGCAGUGGAUACUGGCUCGCUAGAGUGUGUCAGAGGAUGGUGGAAUUCCCGGUGUAGCGGUGGAAUGCGUAGAGAUCGGGAGGAACAUCAGUGGCGAAGGCGGCCAUCUGGGACAACACUGACGCUGAGGCACGAAAGCGUGGGGAGCAAACAGGAUUAGAUACCCCAGUAGUCCCUGUCUCUUAUAC
rnacentral:rRNA from 1 species